rnacentral:rRNA from 1 species
CCUAACCGAAAAAACCUUAACCGGGGCUUGAACAGGGUGGAGAAGCCCUUGCGAAAAGCGAAGGGGUGCCGUCCUCUGGACGGAAAUCCCACCACGGGUGGUGCAUGGCCGUCGUCCAGCUCGUGUCGUGAGAUGUUGGGUUAAGUCCCGCAACGAGCGCAACCCCUGCCCUUAGUUGCUACUCCGAAUGGGGAGCACUCUAAGAGGACUGCCGGCGAUAAGCCGGAGGAAGGUGGGGAUGACGUACAGGUCAGUAUGCCCUUUAUGCCCGGGGCAACACAGGCGCUACAGUGGCCAGGACAAUGGGAUGCAACCCAGCAAUGGGGAGCAAAUCCCCAAAACCUGGUCAUGGUGCAGAUUGAGGGCUGAAACUCGCCCUCAUGAAGCCGGAAUCGGUAGUAAUGGCGGAUCAGCUAAGCCGCCGUGAAUACGUUCUCGGGCCUUGCACACACCGCCCGUCACGCCACGGAAGUCAGUCUUCCCGGAAGCUCCCGAGCUAACCCGCAAGGGAGGCAGGGAACGAUGGGAAGGCUGGUAACUGGGGCGAAGUCGUAACAAGUAACCCGGCGGCCGCCGACCAAGGCGAAUCUCAAUACCACCACUGCGCCCUCGACAUCACUAAGCCCAAUCC